UUACUAUUUCUCACUGGUCAUUAAAUAUAUUAGGCACCAUUAUAGCAUAAUAUAUGUUUGGCGUUACUUUAAUUAAUUUUCUGUAAUAUAUAAUCAGAGAUUGAGUAUAUAACGGGUAAAGAAUGCACUUUCAUUAAACUCCCCUCUCAAUUUAUAAGGUGUUAUAAGAUAUAUUUUUAGUCCAUUCUUAAGGGGCUUAGGUAUAUUAACUGUGAAUCUCACACACCUCUCAUGGAGAUUCAAUAAAGACAGGGAAUAAAUUUUCCUUGUAAAUGUAGUUGGAUUUUGAUCUUAUAGUGAAACUUGAGAAUUUUUUCUUGUUGUUUAUUUGUCCAUAUGGAAUGCAAUUUUGGACAUUGAUUACUUGAUUAUUUAUUGUGAAGUGAGAUGGAUUAACUAAACAUAUUAUGUAGCCUGUGUAGGAUGGACAGUUGCCUAAAUAAAAUACUUUGCUUCUAAUGCAGUGCUAUUGCCAUCAUUAUUUGUUUUAUUGGAGAUUAGAGAGUAUUAUACGGAGAGAAAAUUAAAAAGUGUUUAUGAUAUGAAAAAAUGAAUUUGAUUAUAUAUUUCAGUAUAUUGGCUAUUCCUAGAUGUUCGUGCGUCAGUUUAGAUUUCAGGUUGCUUCUUCUUAAAGUACAUUCCUAAAUUGUAUAUUGUAUGUUCUUGUACAUGUGUUAAAAAGUCUCAUUUCUCAACACACCAAAUUUGUUGUAACCUGUAAUUUGAGCUUUAAAACUUAAUCUUGUCUAUAGCUCCCACAUUUUAAACAUGUUGUAAUCCAUUUAAUCCAGUACCUCUAAACCUAAGAGGUUAAAGAUGGUAAUAAAAGUAGAAUGGGUAAAGAGAGAAAAAUAAAGGACAGCAUAAGUAUUGUGAUAGAGGGAGGAAAGAAGUUUGGUGUAUGGGAAAGAGAAGAAUUGUAUUAAAUUACGAAUAUCUCUUUGGGAAUGCCUUAUUAGGAUGGUGUGGAAAGCAAAAGUAUUACUCUACAUGCUGAUCCCCUUUAUUCAAUAAUUUUCAAUUUUGCCAUGUCUACUUGUUGGGGUUCUUGUUUCCCAAACAAGUAUUGUUAUAGUUUGGUAAAAAGAGAUAGCAGCCUUUGAUCGACACAACUGGGGUGUCUGUCAGAUUAUGUGAAGUUUAAUCUCCCUUUAAUAUACACAGGAAGUUAGUAUCUAUCUACAAUAACUAUAAUAUAUAAUAAAUGCAAAAUCUAAAUAUUUUUGGCAAUCCUCUUAGAAAUUUUUUUCUUACAAUUUAAUAUUUUCCUUUCCAUCUGGCUAUCAAUCCUAUCAUAUUUCUUCCAUGUACUACUAAUUGAAAUAAUAUUUUAUAUCUUCAAUAUAUUAUAUUCGGGUCCUCUACGGCAAAAAUAGUGGUAACGGGUAGUUUUUAGAUGUCGAAUAGGAGUAGCUAGUAGUUUUAUUAGCAGUGGGUAGAGGUUAGAUAUCAAUGUAGCGGUUGAUAUUAGAUUGUUUGGCAAAAAUAGCGGUUGAGAUAUUAAAAUACAAGCAAAGCCAUACAUAUUAUAUAAAAAGUAACCAAAAAUUUGAAAUGCUAACAUUUUUUAUGUUUAAGAAAAGUUACCAAAACGCUACCUCGACCACUAUUACAUGAAGCGCUACCUUACCAAACACUUAUUUUUUUCUUACUAGAGUUUUGACUUGUCCAAAUGCUAACCAUUACCUAAAAUGCUUCCGCCAAACAUUUUCAAAAACUUAAAAAAAUGAUGAACUUAGAUGAAGCAAUGCGUUAAAAUAAAAUUUUAUUCAAGCAAAAAUUCAUUUUAUUAUGUUAAUUAAAAACCGAUGUUAAUUUCUCUUUUAAUUAUGUAGAAAAUUAUUGCUUUAUCAUGUCACAAGAAUUACUUUAUACAACAACAAAGCCUUAGUCCUAUAAUGAUUUGGGAUCGGCUAACAUGAAUUGUCAUAAGGAAUCGUAUGAUACACAAAAACAGACAUAACAAAACCAUUAUUUAAAAAAUUUUGAAAAAAAGUGAGUAAACGAAAGAGCAUUCAAGAAAAAUUAAGAGAGUUUUAAAAGAAAAUCAAAAAUAAAAUUCAAGAAAGUUUUAAAAGAGUGGAUAAAACAUUCAAGUUGAAAGCAUAAAGGUUUGAGAAAACUUUAGCAAAGGAAUACAAUACUUUAUACGAAGUACUCAAAGAGUAAAGACACCAUGAAGUUUGUCCUACAACUUUUUUUAUAAUUCUUUUUGUUAGAUAUCGUAGAAGGCUAGAAUAUUUCCUUUUUUUUAUUUUUAUUUUUAAAUAGAGCGUAUAUUAAUUUAAGGAUGAUACUCUCUCACUCACUUUCCGUUUUCAUCCAUUUUCUUAAGUUCUAUUCACUUUUACUUUAUUCCUUUUAUAAUUAUCUUUUAUUUAUUUUUUUAUCAAUUACAACCUCACUUUGUGGAGCCAAUUAUGUUAAAUACAUCCCUUACUCUCCACCCCUCUCUUCUUUAAAGCAAAAGUAGUCGCAUGCAUGGUCUUGAAAACGGAAGGAGUAUAAUAUAUAUGAGCAUAAAUUUUUAGAGUUAGUUUUUUUUUUUAAAUUUUAAAAGACAUAUCAACUAUGACAUGGGUCAAAAUGUGCAAAGUUUUCCCACCAUAUUCUUUUCAAUUUAAAAAAUAAAAAUUUAGAAGUAUUUCUUUCUAUUUUAUACUACUAUAUACAACUCUAUAUGAGUUAUUGGAUCUUGCCUCUCUGAUAUACAUAAUAUACUUUUAUACUGAAUCCAUUAAUAACAUAUCAAUAAAUAAGGAGUUGUAAAUAUAUACAAGUAAAUUUACAACUACCCAGGUUGAUAAUCACUUUGCAUAUUUUGAAAAAUAGUAUGUAGUGUGUACAGUAUAUAGUAAGUAAUCCUAACAAUUAAAUAAAAUAAAAUGUAAUAUACUCCUGUUCUUUUUUUAUUUUUCUACUUUCCGUUUUGAUAUGUUUUUAUUUCUUAUUUUUUAUCUUUAUUCCUUUUUUGUUAAGGAAAAUUUCCACUUUUAUCACUUUUUACCCAACUACAUGAUCCACAUAAAACAAUAUAAUAAUAGCAAUGUUUUUAAACAAUUUUCUUUCUUCUACCUAAAAAGUAAAAAAAAAGGACCUACUUUCCACUUACUAUGAACCGUAAGUAGGAAGAUAAAAAAAAGAAUGGAGGGAGUGUAUAUAUAUAAGGAAAAAACUACUACAUAUAAUUUAUAAUAUUGUUAGAAACAAAUUUCAUAAUUUUUAUUAUUAAGUUCAUAUAUCACACAAACACACGAGUUCUAACCUAAAUUUUUGAAAUGAAAUGGGCACCUUAUCAUACAUUUCAUAAAGGAAUGAAUAUUUUUAGAUAUUUUUACAUUGACUAAUAGACUGGAAGGUGACUUUGUUCUUGUUAAAUUAAAAAGAUUUUCCCAUAUUCCCUACAUUUUUGUUUUCAUAUUUUUCAAAAUAAUAUCUAAAAGUAUCAAUAGCCUUAAUGUCUCUUAUACAACCCUAGUAUUUUUCUAUAGGUGUAGGUUGAAAAAGGUAUUAUAUGACAAAGAUACUAGUUAUGAGUAUUUAUUUGAUGUAAAGAUAUACAUGGUAUUUUGGUAUAGUUAUUGUUAAACUAAAAAAUCAUUGCAUUUCAUUAUCUCUUGUGCAUGGCACUAAAUCUCGGCCGCAUAACUGCCCAACCACAUUGUAAAGGAAUUUAAGCUUACUGAUAUAUUAGGCCGUCAUAGCCGCAUUCCACCUGCAUUGCCCGUGAAAGUGUUUAUAUGGCCAUCAUCGCGAUCAAGAUCACAUCCAAGAUUUAAAAUCAUGUCCCUUGAUAUUUUAUACUUUUGCUUUAUUUCUAUUUUUGUAAAGUAAAUUUUCACUUUUACCCUACCUUUGCCCAACUCAGAUUGACAUUAUACUAUCAAAUAAUACCAAAAAGUUUCAACACAACUUUCCUUUUCUUACCCAAAAAGUUUUAUGUGAAAUACUUGAAGGCUUAUACUUGAAGACACUAGGUUGUAGGGCCUCCCUUUAAGAAUUCCUAGAAACAUUGAAAAAAUUACAAUGAGUCCUUUUCUACAGUAGACAAUUCCAUUAAAAUCUCGUGAGUAUCAUAAAGCUUUUACCCUUACUAGUUGAGGUGAAUAAGUGAUAAUCAAGACGUAUGAGGUACUUGCAUUUAUUACUUACUAGGCUUUUAGAUCACUAUUAGAGCUAAUUCUCUAUUUUAGUGUUGUUCCAUGCAUUUUCUUAGAUAACCCUUAGCCAGCGAAUCAAAAAUUACCUUCAUAUACUUUUUCAUUCUUUAUUUUUUGAAAUCAUUUUACAUUGGAACUGACUAUGCAUUAAAAUAGCUUGGGAAAUUAUCAAUGAUACCCCCCCAGGUAUUGGCUUUUAUCAAUGAUACACAUCAUUAAACUUUCAUUAUCACCGGUACACCUAAACUUUUCCCUAAAUACCUACCGUGACCUUGACCGUUAACUAAACGUUAAUGAAGUUGUGUUGGUCUGACUUGGCUUGACUAAAAUGCCCCCCCACGCAUUAACCCUCCCUCCAAGCCCAACCAACAACAUUAAAUUCCAAAAAUUUGAUCGUUCAUCUUCUUCACUCUCUCCCCUGUUCUUCUUCUAUAAGACCCUAAUUGACGCUGGAGUGAAGCAAAAUCCUUGGAGAUUUAGCGAUACUUUGUGGAUUUUAAAAGGUUAGUGCUUAUUUCUCUCUUGAAUUUUGGAUUUUUUUGGUUUAAAUUGUUAGGUUUAAGUUAAUGUAUGUAUGCUUGUGUAAUUUGUUGGUUAUGAUAACAAUCUGGAAUUGGUGUUGGAUUUUGCUCUUAAUCAUUCUCGAUUUCCAUAUGAUCAUGUUUGUGUGGUAAAUUUUGGAUUUUUUUAGAUAUAUAAUUCCAUAUGAUCAUGUUUGCGUGUUUUUGUGUGUGCAUGUUGAGCCUAGGUUUAAAUUAGUUUAAUCUGAUUUUGCAGAAUGAGUGACAAGGUUGUGUUGAGAUUUAAGUAUAAGGUGCAUAAUGUUGACAUUGAAGCUGAUCUAGAUAUGUGCAAUCUCAUGGAUUUGAUGAUAGAAUUUAAAGAUAGGUUACAGAAAAAGGGAGUAGUUAUAUUGAACCCUAUAUUUGCUUAUGCAUAUAAAGGAAAGCAUGUGCCUAUUAGGGAUGAUGGUGGUAUGAUUAGUAUGUUUAGGACCAUCCCUGAUGCUGAUAUUUUUGAGAUUUUGGUUGGGACUGCUGAAAAUUCUAACUUUCAUGAAUGAAUUAGUGUCUGAGUUUAGGGGGAAAAAAAUAGAGCUGCUGAACAAGCCGACCAAGCUUUACAUGAACCACCUCCUCUUAAUCAACUACCACCUGAAAAUAGAGCUGCUGAACAAGCCGACCAAGCUUUACAUGAACCACCUCCUCUUAAUCAACUACCACCUGAAAAUGUACCACUUGUUAAUCAACUACCACCUGAAGAUGUACCACCUCUUAAUGUCCAAGCUGUCAAUCCUUUUGACCAAGCUUCAAACCCUUCUGCUGAUGGGCAAACCCUGUUACUUCACUUGAACACCCUUCUAAUUAUGGAAGGAGCAAGCUACAACCUAGGAGGAGAUUGAGAUUGACAUACCAAUCAACUCCUCAAGCAACAAUUCCUAAUCUCCUGUUAACCCCUUAUUAGAAGAGCUUGACAGUAGGAUUUUAAAUUAUGACCCUGAUGCUACCUUCAGUGAGUUUGAACUGAAUAGUGCUAACCAGUCUGCAAAAGAUUACACUAAGGGUAGGAAGGAUUUUGAGAAGUACAUGGAGAAGGUUAAGGGUAAGGGUGAAGGUAAGGGUAAGGGCAAGGAAGUAUAGCAAAGGGCAAGGGUAAGGGUAAAGCCAUAUGUUCUGGUGGUGAGAAGUUACCCCCAUCUCCUAUGUCACCACACACUGUUUUUAAGACACUAGCUGUUUGAAGAAGCCCUAGGUUUUCACCAGCACAAACUACUACCUAGCAACCUACUGCCAUUUUUUCAUCUAGUCCAAACACUAGAGGUCCAAAUCCAACCACUAACCCCUUGCUUUUUUCUAGAAAAAUUCCUAAGAGUACACACUGUUUUUAAGACACUAGCUGUUAGAAGAAGCCUUAGGUUUUCACCAGCACAAACUACUACCUAGCAAUCUACUGCCAUUUUUUCAUCUAGUCCAAACACUAGAGGUCCAAAUCCAACCACUAACCCCUUGCUUUUUUCUAGAAAAAUUCCUAAGAGUACACAAAUUAGGAAGAGCAUUUGGACUGGUGCUAAAGUUAGAGUCAGUGCUAAGCCAAAUGAGGUUGAGAAAAGCAGUGAACCAAAUGCUAGAAGGAGAGUCAAUUUUGUUAGUGACUCUAGUGGUGAUGGGGGUUGUGAUGACAGUGAUGAUGGGGAUUAUAAUGAUAGUGAUGAUGGGGAUUAUGAUGAUAUUGGUGGUGUGUCUAUGAAGAUGAAGAUGAAGAUUCAGAUGGUGAUGUACCAGAAGAUGAGUUGGUUGAGAUGGGAGAGGUUCCCCAAAUAGAAGACAAUUGGGAGCAGGGUUUUUGAUCUGGUUUUAUAGAUGAUGAUGAUGAUGAUGAUGACUACUUUUCAGCAGCUGUAUGGGCAUGGUGAAAUGUAUGAAGAGGUGAAAUUUGGGAAGAUUGUACUUAGACCCUGGAUGAUUUUCAUAGACAAGGCUCAUUUAAGGGAAACUUUGAAAGAUUAUGCAGUGUAGGAAGGUUUUGCUUUACACUGUGACAUGCACAGUGUUGUGAGUGGAGAUUACAUGCUAGUAGGUUAGUUGAUGGUAAGACAUGGGCAAUAAAGAAAAUAUGGCCAGAUGUUCAUAACUGUAGGGGUUUGGAAACCUAUAACCCUAUCUGUUCUGUGAAGUGGGCUGCUCCUAAGGUGAUGGAAGAUAUUAGGGCUGAUCCUGACAUUCCAGGCAAGCAUUGAAUGAACUCCUGUUUUAGAGGUUUGGAGUAUAUAUGAAACAAGCUUCAUUGUACAGACUGAAGAGGUAUGUGAUUGAAAAACUGUUUGGUGGUCAUGAUGAUAUGCUUUACUAAUCCUGAGUCAAAGGCAUUUGUAGCUUGGGAACUAAGUGAAAGCAUUCCUAGGGUCAAUCUGUUCUCAAAGUAUUUUCAUAAGUUUUGCUGGACAAUUGAAGGGUUUUCUAGGAGGUUGCAGGCCUUUGAUUGGGGUUGAUGGGGCACAUUUGAAGGGCAACUAUGGUGGUAUUCUACUGUCUGCAGUAUCAUUAGAUGGCAACAAUGAGAUUUAUCCAAUAGCAUAUGCCAUAGUGAGAGCCGAAGACAAAGAAAGUUGGGGAUAUUUCUUCUGGCAUCUUCACAACAUAGUUAAGCAACAACAUUGGACAAUUAUAUCUGACAGACAGAAGGAGGUAUUGCUGCAGACAUUUGAGCAGGAAUUUAAAAGAAGAAUUUCCAGGUCCUUUGAUGUAUACUUUGUUUAGGAGGGCAUGCAAUGCAACAAAUCAGUUCACCUUUAGAAAAGCAAUGGAAAAGUUGCAAAAGGAAGGAGAAGAUGAUGUUAUGACUUGAUUUGCUGAUUUAGGAGAUCAGUCAAAAUGGAGCGUUUUAACUCCAUACUAGGUGUUGACAGGUGCAGACCUGUCUUAACCCUGCUUAAAGGAUUGCUUCAAGGAGUGAGAGAGCACAAAGUUGGGAGGAUAAUGAUUUAUGCCCCAAAAUUGCAAAGCUGUUAGGGAAAUCAGCAAAGCAACCUCCACCUGCAGAGCUUUUCAGUCAAGUCUAGGAGAGUAUGAGAUACAUGAGGGGAAGUCCCAGUUUCCUCUAAGUCUCUAACACCAAAAUUUCAUGUUGAGCUUGAAAACUCUCUGGUAUCCCCUGCAGGCAUGCAGUGAGGGCAAUGGUCCAUGCUAAGGUUGAUCUUCACAAUUAUGUAAGUUCCUGGUAUACUGCAAGAACCUAGAAGCAAGUUUAUAGCUAUGUUAUAAACCCUGUUCCUGAUUCAAGUCAGUGGCCACCUGUUGAUGCUAACCACCCCCUUCACAUUUAUCCCCCUAAGAUGAAGAGAGGUGUUGGUAGGCCAAGUAGAAACAGGAAGAGAGAAGAGGGUGAAGACCAACCAGGGAAGAGGUCUAGAACAAUUAAAUGCAGCAACUGUGGGAAUCUAGGGCACAAUGCUAGAACUUGCAAAGGGGGUUUGACUGGAAAGGAACUUAAGUCAUUUCAGGCCAUGGUUGUUAAAAACCCAAGAGUGAUGGAUCAAUCAAAUGCUGCUAAGGCAAACUAGAGCGCAGUCCAAAGCUGCAGAUGCUGCAGCAUAGCUCUCAUCAUCACAAUUAGCAAGCCAACCACAAGACUUGUCACAAUCUCAACCUUGACAUCUGAUAUCAUAGAUGCAUGAGUAGUUCUGUAGGUUUUGAUUUACUUUUAACAAACUUAUGUAGGUUUUUGAACAGGUUUUAUAAGCUUUAAGUACCGUUGAACUUGUUUUAUUUCAUUAUUGAACUUAGUACUAAAUUGGCAGCAGUACUUGCUAUGACUUUUUGUAUGGCAAUGCAACAUUACUUAAUUGCUAGAUUGAUAUAUAUGAGUUUUUGUAUGAAAUAAGUUUCAGUACUUAAUUGCUAUUAUUUUUGCACUUAAAAAAGUACAAUUAAGUUAAAAACUUGCAAGAUUAUACCAAAAUACACCACUUUCAUUUAUUUCAAAGCAAAACACCAAUACAACUUAGUUCAUCUAUUUCAAACCAACAAAUUAAAGGCAACUAUUUCAAAACAACAAUCAACAAUACAUCACUACAUCCAAUUUCACAACCAAUUACACAAAAUCAACAAAUUCAUCCGUCUUGUGCAUAAACUCUGUAAAUUCUGCCCUUAAUGCUUGUACAGACGCUGCUUCAGCCAUGGAACCUUGCCUCCCUCCUAUGUCCCUUACAAUCUGAUCUUCAGUCACCCACAUGAAGAAUUCACAUAACCUGCAUUUAUAAUAUGGCCUUCCAGGAUUAGCUGUAGAGUUAGAAAACCUAAUGUCUGCAGAUCUUGGAGGUUGGCAGUUGCAAUUCAUGACUUUAAACCAAUCACCUCUUCCAUUUCUAUUGCUUGAAGAUGAAGCCCUGCCAGAGGAAGUCCUGCCAGAUGAAGCCAUUGAUUUUCCUGAGAAAAAAAAAAAUGGAAGCAAAAAGAAAAAAGAAGAGCGUGAAUGGAAAGGGGGAGUGCAAACAGGAAGGGAAGGUGUAUAAGUAGGGGAAAUUUCACAAAAAAUGAGGGAAAAAUGGAAGGGAAAUUUGGAGGGAAAUUAAAUGAGGGAAAUUAACCUUUAAAACGCUGAACAGAGCUUCAUUAACGUUUAGUUAACGGUCAAGGUCACGGUAGAUAUUUAGGGAAAAGUUUAGGUGUACCAGUAAUAAUGAAAGUUUAAUGAUGUGUAUCAUUGAUAGAAGUCAAAACCCGGGGGGUAUCAUUGAUAAUUUCCCAAAUAGCUUUAUCAUCUUACCAUUUUCCUCCAUGCAUUCUAGUUCUUAUUUUGUGCAUCUAUUUUUUCAUAAUUCUUAUGGUUAAUAAUUAUGGAAUAAUAUAGUUUCUUAUGCUUGAAGUAUUUCUAGGUUGCGUAUUAUUUUGUAUUAGUUUGAUAAUAGUAUUGUCCCUUCAUUUUUUUUUACUGUCACCGACAGUCAUAAGUACUAAUAAUGUCACCAGUUUAGGUAUGCGUUCGAUCUUGUACAUGGGACGUAUGCUGGCUUGUGAAACAUAACUUACACAAAUCAUUUAGAAGACAAUUUUAAUUGCUCUAUGAGAUAAUAAUGUUGACUUUUCCUGAUUUUGUGAAUAGGGUUGGUUAGGUCGGAAAGUAAAGUAAUUUCAGUUUUGGACUUGGUGAUUUUUUAGGCAGGCUGUUUUUGGUUUCAGACUGCAAAGUUAUGAUCAUAACUAACUCUAAUUUUUUCUGGUGGUGUAGAAUUCAGUAGUUGGAUUUGGCUAUCGGGUUGACUUUUAGUCCUGUCUUAAUUUCUUAAUGCCUGUUAAAUACUUUUUCCUGGCUUUUGGAGUUUUGCUACUCUACUGUUGUAAUUUUCUAUUUAUUUGAUAAGGUCCUAGAUCAACUUUCGUUUUGAAAUCAUGUCAUCAACUAUUAUCCUGAACUUUGAUAACGUAUGUUGUAGGUGUUUAUUUCUAUUCACCCAGACUGUUAUGCCAUUUGUUGGUAGAAUGAGGGGACACUAGCUGUAUCUGGACAGUGGAUGUGGUUGAAUUUUGUGAUUGAGAGUGAAGUUUUGUACAAGGAGUAUCAAUCUAAAGAUUACUGGAACAUAAAGAUGGUGAGAUACAUGGGCCCUAGGAGCUUUUGAGAACUGGAAGAAAGUAUAAAUUUAAUUUCAAUUUCAAAAGCUUGGACUCUAAAACACUAUAUUUAUAUUUUGUUAAGCUUUUGUGUGUUCAAUAGCUAGUGUCUUUUCUCCUGGUAAAUCAAUAGAGUUAAUCAACUAAGAGAUUCAUUUUUUUCUUAUGAAAAAUCAAAUUUUCAAAUACACAACUCUCAGGUUAGUACAUAAAGCAUUAGCACACCCAUACUAAGCUACCUAUUAAGUACACAUAUGCAAGGUGUCCAAGAGGGGAUUGAGGGAUACAUCACCAAGACUUUGUUAGAGUGUGACAGCAUUUGUCUUGAAGAGGAAGAUGAAGGGUGCAUCAUCAAAUGACCUUAGAGUUGGUUAGCUUUGGGAAUGGAGUCAAUGAUGAGAGUAGUAUGAACUAAGAAGGGGAAUAUAUUUAAACUUUUCUCUUUCUUCUUAAAUCCUAGGGUACUAGGUAAGUACUCUCCUUAGUGAUGAUUUUUUAAUUGUGUUAAUGUACCCAUUUAUCAAUUUUUCCUUUUAUUUCUUCACGUAUGUUUUGUCUAUCAAAGCUUCCGUUCAAUAACAUAGUACUAGAAUGUACUAGUGUAGGAUCAUCCACCUUCCAAGAAGUCCCAUUCAAUCAAUGUGCUUUCCUAGUGCUUGGGGGUUACCGAAAGGGAUCGACUAUUCAGCCUUAUAAGACCGUUGAUUGGGAUUGGGCAUACUUUUGUUUUCUGAAGUGUUAACACUUACAUAAGCUCUAAGUAUGCGACCUAAUUGCGUAAAUUGUGUAGAAAAUUAUGGUGGACUGAAAGAAUGUGUCAUUUUUUCUCAUGGUCAGGAGUGAUUGGAACUUUUAAAAUUUGGGUGGGUGAUCGGGGGUAAGGGUGGGGAUGGGAUGAUUUUAGGGUGAAGGAAUUCUCCAUGCUUCAAGUGUGGGUUUAAUUAGAGUAGUUUUUACCUUGAGUCUCCUUUUUCCCUCUUCCUCUAGUCACCUCUCUCCCAGUCUCUCAUCCUCAUGCAAAACUAGGUUGCAUUGGUGAAGUGAUGACUCUUCUAUCGUGAGCUCAAUACUAGGUAGGGCUCCUUGGUGGCCAAUGAAGAAAGAGGGGAGAUAAAAGAGUAUUGCUAGCAAAACUUGGAAGCAGAAGAAGACAGAAAGAUGAACUGUUGGCUCGAGAGAGAGAGAGAAGAAAGAGAGGCAGUUGGUUUGGGACCCUUGUUCAGUAUUUCAGGCAGCCACUUAAGUAGCAAGGUUUUGAUUAUUGAUUAAUCACCUUUGGCUGGGAGAUUGCCUGGCUGAUGAUCAGUUCUCAGCCAUAUAGCUGACUACUAGGAAAAAAAAAAAACCAUAUAAUUCUGUUGGUAUUGAAAUCUUUGUCUCAUUUGGACUCUUUGGGUCUGAGCAAUGUGCUUUUUGCUAUGAUUUCAGCUGAUUAAUCAAAAAGCGAAUUGCCCUAAUUUUGGGUAAGAUAUGUACUAGUAGCAAAGAGUAUCUGAUUAAGCUUUAAAGGUGCUAGGAGCUGGAGGGAUUACUAUGUAGUUGCGGUUGCAAAGAAAGAUUUAUCUACUCUCAGGUUAUUGUAAGAUUUUGCUUUGGGUUGACUUGAUUGUGAAACAAUUUCGGUAGGCUGGUUGUUGUGGAAAAGAACAUGUUUGGGGUCAAGGAAGUUGCAAUGCUUGUUUCUUCGUUCUUCUAAUGGUCUGGUUGCUUGAUUAUUGUUCUGAUAAUUUUUGUUUGUUCA